GAGCGCGAACGUCGUGAGGACAAGUCCACUAGAAUGGACAAGUACACCGGAC
rnacentral:sRNA from 1 species